rnacentral:tRNA from 1 species
CGCGGAGUAGAGCAGAGGUUAGCUCGUCAGGCUCAUAACCUGGAGGUCGGUGGUUCGAUUCCAUCCUCCGCAACCA